GUGCUCGCUUUGGCAGCACAUAUACUAAAACUGGAACAAUACAGAGAAGAUUAGCAUGGCUCCUGUGCAAGGAUGACACGCAAAUUCGUGAGGCAUUGCAUAUUUUU
ensembl:snRNA U6 U6 spliceosomal RNA